rfam:Astyanax mexicanus chromosome 3, whole genome shotgun sequence.
CCUUCGAUAGCUCAGUUGGUAGAGCGGAGGACUGUAGUGGCUACGGCUGAAAUCCUUAGGUCGCUGGUUCGAAUCCGGCUCGAAGGA